AACGCAAAUUGCACUUCCUGGCAUCCCGGGGAGUAUGCCUGUUUGAGGGUUGGUUUAAAUAACAAUCGAUAUUGUUGCUUUUUGUGACGUGUCGGAGCUGGGUUAUCUUAUUCCUUGGUGGCUUUUAAGAGACCUAAAAUUGAUGUUUUUCUGCGUGUCUCGACGUGUAUAAUUUUUUUUAUCCCGUCACCGGACGCUCAGGUAUUAUUAGGCGUGGCUAUGUUAAGUGGUAUCAUGCCUAUAGGAUUUUCUUGAUUUCAACCUCAAAUCAGGUAGGGACACCCGCUGAACUUAA
rnacentral:misc_RNA from 1 species